CCUACGGGAGGCAGCAGUGAGGAAUAUUGGUCAAUGGCCGAGAGGCUGAACCAGCCAAGUCGCGUGAGGGAAGACGGCCCUACGGGUUGUAAACCUCUUUUGUCGGGGAGCAAAGCGAACCACGUGUGGUUCAUUGAGAGUACCCGAAGAAAAAGCAUCGGCUAACUCCGUGCCAGCAGCCGCGGUAAUACGGAGGAUGCGAGAGUUAUCCGGAUUUAUUGGGGUUAAAGGGUGCGCAGGCGGAGGUGCAAGUCAGCGGUCAAAUUGCGGGGCUCAACCCCGUACUGCCGUUGAAACUGCAUCCCUUGAGUGCGCGAGAAGUAUGCGGAAUGCGUGGUGUAGCGGUGAAAUGCAUAGAUAUCACGCAGAACUCAGAUUGCAAAGGCAGCAUACCGGCGCGCAACUGACGCUCAUGCACGAAAGCGUAGGUAUCGAACAGGAUUAGAUACCCUGGUAGUC
rnacentral:rRNA from 1 species